AAGAAACGAAUGAUUCAAUAGAUUCUCCUUGGCUUGUGCCCAUUUAUCGAAAAAACCACACCACAAACUCACUGGAAUUCAUCUGCAAUGGAAACCUGGUUCGGCAGGACAUUGUGGUGACUGCUGCCCAUUGCAUUGAAAAAUCAUUGCAAUCCGAUUUGAUUGUUGGAUAUAAGUCUAAUCACAUAUUGACUCUUGAGAAUGUCAGUGACGAGAAUUUGGUUGCGAAAAUGGAACCUCAUAGCUUUUUUAAAGAAAACUUUGAGAACAAUGACACUUAUUCGAACGAUGUGGGGAUGAUCUUAUUGAAGAAA